UACGUGAGGGACCAAGCGUUGUUCGGAUUUAACUGGGCGUAAAGGGGCGCGUAGGCGGCAAUUCAAGUCAUCUGUGGAAAUCUCCGGGCUUAACUCGGAACGGUCAGAUGAUACUGCUUGCUAGAGUGGCGGAAGGGGCAAUCGGAAUUCUUGGUGUAGCGGUGAAAUGCGUAGAUAUCAAGAGGAACACCUGAGGUGAAGACGGGUUGCUGGGCCGACACUGACGCUGAUAGCGCGAAAGCCAGGGGAGCAAACGGG
rnacentral:rRNA from 1 species